rnacentral:rRNA from 1 species
UACGGAGGGUGCAAACGUUGCUCGGAAUCAUUGGGCGUAAAGCGCGUGUAGGCGGCUUGUUAAGUCGGAUGUGAAAUCCCUGGGCUCAACCCAGGAAUUGCGUUCGAUACUGGCAAGCUAGAAUACAGGAGAGGAUAGCGGAAUUCCCGGUGUAGAGGUGAAAUUCGUAGAUAUCGGGAGGAACACCAGUGGCGAAGGCGGCUAUCUGGACUGAUAUUGACGCUGAGACGCGAAAGCGUGGGUAGCAAACAGG